UAAACUGACGCCUGCUAGUUUGGGUAAAUAGCUGUUAACUAUUUUUUGUGGGAUCGAGGCCCACCGGUUUUA
rnacentral:tRNA from 1 species